GAUGAACGCUGGCGGCGUGCCUAAUACAUGCAAGUCGAGCGAACAGACGAGGAGCUUGCUCCUCUGACGUUAGCGGCGGACGGGUGAGUAACACGUGGAUAACCUACCUAUAAGACUGGGAUAACUUCGGGAAACCGGAGAUAAUACCGGAUAAUAUAUUGAACCGCAUGGUUCAACAGUGAAAGACGGUUUUGCUGUCCCUUAUAGAUGGUACCGGGCCGCAUUAGCUAGUUGGUAAGGUAACGGCUUACCAAGGCAACGAUGCGUAGCCGACCUGAGAGGAUGAUCAGCCACACUGGAACUGAGACACGGUCCAGACUCCUACGGGAGGCAGCAGUAGGGAAUCUUCCGCAAUGGGCGAAAGCCUGACGGAGCAACGCCGCGUGUGUGAUGAAGGUCUUCGGAUCGUAAAGCUCUGUUAUUAGGGAAGAACAAAUGUGUAAUUAACUAUUCACGUCUUGACGGUACCUAAUCAGAAAGCCCCGGCUAACUUCGUG
rnacentral:rRNA from 1 species